AUUGAACGCUGGCGGUAUGCCUUACACAUGCAAGUCGAACGGUAGAGGGGCAACCCUUGUGAGUGGCGAACGGGUGAGUAAUACAUCGGAACGUGCCCAGUCGUGGGGGAUAACGUAGCGAAAGCUACGCUAAUACCGCAUACGACCUGAGGGUGAAAGCGGGGGAUCGCAAGACCUCGCGCGAUUGGAGCGGCCGAUGGCAGAUUAGGUAGUUGGGGAGGGAAAGGAUCACCAAGGCGACGAUCUGUAGCGGGUCGUAGAGGAUGAUCCGCCACACUGGAACUGAGACGCGGUCCAGACUCCUACGGGAGGCAGCAGUGGGGAAUUUUGGACAAUGGGGGCAACCCUGAUCCAGCCAUGCCGCGUGAGUGAAGAAGGCCUUCGGGUUGUAAAGCUCUUUCGGCCGGGAAGAAAUCGCACGGGCUAAUACCCUGUGUGGAUGACGGUACCGGAAUAAGAAGCACCGGCUAACUACGUGCCAGCCGCCGCGGUAA
rnacentral:rRNA from 1 species